UACGAAGGGUGCAAGCGUUAAUCGGAAUUACUGGGCGUAAAGCGUGCGUAGGCGGUGAGUUAAGUCUGUUGUGAAAUCCCCGGGCUCAACCUGGGAACUGCAUUUGUGACUGCAUGGCUAGAGUACGGUAGAGGGGGAUGGAAUUCCGCGUGUAGCAGUGAAAUGCGUAGAUAUGCGGAGGAACACCGAUGGCGAAGGCAAUCCCCUGGACCUGUACUGACGCUCAUGCACGAAAGCGUGGGGAGCAAACAGG
rnacentral:rRNA from 1 species